rnacentral:rRNA from 1 species
UACAGAGGGUGCGAGCGUUGUUCGGAAUUAUUGGGCGUAAAGGGCGCGUAGGCGGUGCGGUAAGUCACCUGUGAAAUCUCCUGGCUCAACUGGGAGCUUGCAGGCGAAACUGCCGUGCUGGAGUGUGGGAGAGGUGAGUGGAAUUCCCGGUGUAGCGGUGAAAUGCGUAGAUAUCAGGAGGAACACCGGUGGCGAAGGCGGGUCUCUGGGUAGUAACUGACGCUGAGGAACGAAAGCGUGGGUAGCGAACAGG